AUGAAACAGCUGCACCGCCCAGCACGCCGCCCACGUUUGGUCUCCCCCUGGACACCGCCCACUCUUGGUCUGCAACAGAGAUUCCAUUUCUCCCUGGGAUUAGGAGGCACAGAGUGUCCAGAUCUGCUUCUGAAAUCUCUUCCUCCCUUAAGAAAUGUAAUUUCCAUGCCGCGUCCACUGAGGGCCAGGAACCACAGAAGAGAAAGAGCAGCAGGAAGCUUCCAGAAACUCCCACGAGGGCUCAGAAAACACGGGGAGGCGGCAAUUGCAAUCACCUGCCAGGACUGGAGAGCCAGAGGUCGGCCAGCUAGAAGAUGUCCUGUCCCUGAGUCCCCGCCCUGGCUCCACUUUCAUGCAAGAGGGGGCAGGGCGGACCACAGAGGGCCCCCCGGGCAGCCAGAGCCAGGUCCUGGAGAGCCACCCCCAACCCAGGUCAGUAGGUCCAGGACAGCAGGAAGACCACCUAGGUCGGAAGUUCAAAUCUCUGAUUUGAGAUGAGUGUUGACCCUACAGGGGUUGAAGGCCUCUCUGGAGAGCGUCGAGUGAGCAGACAGGCCCAGAGCUGGACGACCUCUCCCUAAAAUGCCAAUGGCCUCAGAAGACAAAACACAAGGGGGUCAGUGGCCCCCAGGCACUGAGCUCACUGGGACUCCCUGAGCCCAUGUCUGGCGUCACACACAAUGUUGUUAUUUCACUGCCUAAUUUCAAAAUGCACGGCUGCAAUUUACACACUGAGCUGUGACUUGAAUAAUUUAUCGCAAAGUCCCUGUAUCAGUGACCAGUGUGCUGGGUGUUCCUUUGAAACCCACAGAGCAGACCUAAUAUAUCAUGUUGUUUUCCUCCUCUUUAAAUAUUUUUGACACAGCAAUACUUCACUACAGGCCACUAAUAAUGUUCUGCUUCUAGAGGAGAAAAUACUGCCGCAGCUUCAGGGCAGGUGACUUGCUCGGAGCCAUUUAACAGCGGGCGGCAACUGCAACCCACCACUGGUUCCUUUUUAAUUUAAUACAGGAAGAAGCACAGCGAAGUUCCCUCAUAUUUCUCUUCCUAAAGCUGACAGAAAACAAGUAAACCAGCAGAAAACAAACACCACAUCUUAGGGAGGGGAAUUCAGACAGGACCAGGGAGCCAGAGGAAGACUCCUGCUUCCCACAGUCAUCGGGAUGAAUCCAAGGCAGCCUUAGAGCGAGUGUCUUCCACCUUGGCCCACAGCUCCUUGUUCCUAAAAUCAACGCCGUGUCCCCAGCUUAUAGCUCCUCAUUCCUAAAAUCAACACCGCGUCCCCAGCUUACAAAUGCUGUGUCACACUGAGCGGUUUCUAUCUGGUUUUAUUUUCAUCCGACUCUCCCCAGCCCUGCCUGUCACUCAGGAACACAUCUCACCAGUCCAGCCGCAUCUGGGAGAUAAAAAUGCCCAAUUCGGCCAGGCAUGGUGGCUCAAGCCUGUAAUCCCAGCACUUUGGGAGGCCGAGACGGGCGGAUCACGAGGUCAGGAGAUCGAGACCAUCCUGGCUAACACGGUGAAACCCUGUCUCUACUAAAAAAAUACAAAAAACUAGCUGGGCGAGGUGGCGGGCACCUGUAGUCCCAGCUACUCGGGAGGCUGAGGCAGGAGAAUGGCGGGAACCCGGGAGGCGGAGCUUGCAGUGAGCUGGGAUCGCACCACUGGACUCCAGCCUGGGCGACAGAGCGAGACUCCAUCUCAAAAAAAUAAUAAUAACAAAUAAAUAAUAAAUAAAAAUGCCCAAUUCAAUUAGCAUUUGUUAAACACACCCCAAGGUUUGUUGCCAUGGAUUGUAGUUUCCUGGAAGGCAGCAAACCUGGAAUUUUAGAGUAGGAUGCGGCCUUUCAGCCCCUGAACGUGCAUCCGGGCUUGGACCAGGGGCUUCCCAGCCCUGCAAAGGGCAUGGGCAGCCUGCUCUGCCUCAGCGUCCACACCAGCAGGUGGGGUAGCACCUCCUGUCAGAGGGGAAGAUCCACCUGUGCAUGUGGAGGUGCAGAAGGAGAGGUCAUCCAUGGAAAUCUGACUUCUACGGCAAACUCAAGUUUAAGCAAAAGUAGACUACCCUUCAGAAACCCACACUGGAAUGAUAGCAAAAUAUGAAAUCGAUGUAAGUGUCCAUCAGUGGGUGAAUGGAUAAAGAAAACAUGGAGCGUCCACACAAUGGAGUACUAUUCAGCCACGAAAAAGGAUGAAGUCCUGUCUUUUGCACACAAUGGAAUACUAUUCAGCCAUGAAAAAGGAUGAAGUCCUGUCUUUUGCACACAAUGGAAUACUAUUCAGACAUAAAAAAGGAUGAAGUCCUGUCUUUUGUACACAAUGGAAUACUAUUCAGCCAUGAAAAAGGAUGAAGUCCUGUCUUUUGCACACAAUGGAAUACUAUUCAGCCACGAAAAAGGAUGAAGUCCUGUCUUUUGCAGCAACAUGGAUGGAACUGGAGCCAUUAUCUUAAGUGAAACAAUGCAGAAUCAGAAAGUUAAUACUGCACAUUCACACAUGUAAGUGGGAGCUAAAUUACAUGUGUGCAUGGACGUAGCACAUGGGACGAUGGACACUGCAGACCCGGGAGGCUGGGAGGGAAGAGGAGGAUGAGAAAUCACCGCUCGGGCACAAUCUAUGUUAUUCAGUGAUGGCUACCUCAAAGCCCAGACUUCACCGCUACACGACAGAUCCACAUAGUAAGACCACACUUGGACCCCACACAUUCAUACAGUAAUAAAUAUGACUAAGAGAACCUACUGGUCAGAUAGAUCUCUGCUUUUCUGCCAGUCAGUGCCAGGGGAGCUUUUGUCUCUCACACUACUUAGAGCCCCUCCUUCCAAGGCUGGGCAGCUCCCGUGUGCACAUGGGGGCUCCCACCACCCUGAGGGCUAGUCUCCAUGCCUGUUGGAUGGCGGUGUGGGUUUGCUCUGGCUGGUGUGGACAAGCCCUUAACUGAGAACAGGCUCAAGGGAACUUCUAGCUUUCUUCUUCUCUAGCUUUCUUUUUUAAAGGCAUUUAUUGCUCCUGAAAAUAAUCUGUGCUUGCAAAGAAAAACGUCAUUUUGCUUCAAAUCCAGUGAUAAUGAAUGGAUCUUUUCUUCUCCUGGCAAACCAUUUUCCCUCGCCCCAGGGGACCAUCUGAGCCAUCUUCCCCCACUCAGGCCCUCAGGAGACCCAACCUCCCUGACACGUCCUAGGCUCGGGGCAGGUGUGGGGAGGCACGAGCUUCUCUGGAAACCGGCACCUGUCACCUGCUUGCACAUCUGCCACGGAGCUCCAAGUGCUGCCUGUCUGCUCAACAGGCAUGAGGAGCAGUCCCACAGUGCGACGUGGCCAGCACGGG
ensembl:lincRNA